AGAACGAACGCUGGCGGCAUGCCUAAUACAUGCAAGUCGAACGAACUCUUCGGAGUUAGUGGCGCACGGGUGCGUAACGCGUGGGAAUCUGCCCCUUGGUUCGGAAUAACAGUUGGAAACGACUGCUAAUACCGGAUGAUGACGAAGGUCCAAAGAUUUAUCGCCAAGGGAUGAGCCCGCGUAGGAUUAGCUAGUUGGUGAGGUAAAGGCUCACCAAGGCAACGAUCCUUAGCUGGUCUGAGAGGAUGAUCAGCCACACUGGGACUGAGACACGGCCCAGACUCCUACGGGAGGCAGCAGUAGGGAAUAUUGGACAAUGGGCGAAAGCCUGAUCCAGCAAUGCCGCGUGAGUGAUGAAGGCCUUAGGGUUGUAAAGCUCUUUACCGAGAUGAUAAUGACAGUAUCGGAGAAUAAGGCCCCGAUAACUCCGCGCCAGCAGCCGAC
rnacentral:rRNA from 1 species